rnacentral:tRNA from 1 species
GGGGCCGUGGGGUAGUUUGGUAUCCUCGGCGGCUGGGGGUCGUCGGACCUGAGUUCGAAUCUCAGCGGCCCCA